rnacentral:rRNA from 1 species
AUUGAACGCUGGCGGCAGGCCUAACACAUGCAAGUCGAGCGAGCGGCGGCCGGGUGAGUAAUGUAUGGGGACUGCCCGCUAGAGGGGGAUAACUACUGGAAACGGUGGCUACUACCGCAUACUAUCGGAUAACCCAUAUGGGAUUAGCUAGGAGGUGGGGUAAAGGCUCACCUAGGCGACGAUCUCUAGCUGGUCUGAUAGGAUGAUCAUCCACACUGGGACUGGGACACGGCCCAGACUCAUACGGAGGCAGCAGUGGGGAAUAGUGCACAAUGGGCGAAAUCCUGAUGCAGCCAUGCCGAGUGUAUGAAGAAGGACUUAGGGUUUUAAAGUACUUUCAGCGGGGAGGCGUUACCCGCAGAAGAAGCACCGGCUAACUCCGUGCCAGCAGCCGCGGUAAUUC